rnacentral:rRNA from 1 species
AUUGAACGCUGGCGGCAAGCCUAACACAUGCAAGUCGAACGAGUGGCGGACGGGUGAGUAAUGUCUGGGAAACUGCCUGAUGGAGGGGGAUAACUACUGGAAACGGUAGCUAAUACCGCAUACCAUCGGAUGUGCCCAAAUGGGAUUAGCUAGUAGGUGGGGUAAAGGCUCACCUAGGCGACGCUCCCUAGCUGGUCGGAGAGGAUGACCCGCCACACUGUAACUGAGACACGGUCCAGACGCCUACGGGAGGCAGCAGGGGGGAAUAUUGCACAAGGGGCGCAAGCCUGAUGCAGCCAUGCCGCGUGUAUGAAGAAGGCCUUCGGGGUGUAAAGUACUUUCAGCGGGUAGGCGUUACCCGCAGAAGAAGCACCGGCUAACUCCGUGCCAGCAGCCGCGGUAAUUC